CACGUCAUAUUUCGAUAUGAUUCAAAAGACAGUUCUAAUUUAAAUCUAAUAAUUCUUCAAGAUAAUUGGAAAAAAAAAUUGAGAACUUCACAAUGCAAAUAAUUCACAAAUAUUCUUAUUGUAUUGAUUGAUUAUUUGCGUUGGAAGUAAGAAACCAGAAACAUACAUAUUAUGUAGCAACAAAUUUCCUAGUUGCCCAUGGGAAAAUGGGACUGCUUCAGGAUUUACAUAUAUGUAAACACGAGUCCACCUGAAAAAGUACUUCAUGCUGAUUGAAGCGAGGGUUGAAGUCAUUUUAAGAGGAGCUGCUUCAAUCAAUAAUUUUCAAUUUGCAGACUCAGCGCCAGGUACCAAAGCAAACAAGGAAAACAUUCUGUGCAGUUCUUUCAAUCUUGUCCCCAAUUACCUAGAAUGAACUAUGUUAAGAAACCAGAAACCGCAACAACAGCAAUGAAGAUUUCAAAAGGAUUUAAAAACAUCACAUCACGUAAAGAAUACUUGGCAAGAGUCGCUGUAAUUAAAUUCACUAACCAGAAUUGUAGAUUAAAAGGAGUUUAUGGUUCAGAGGACUGGUUUUGACCGAGCUCUGAGCUCAACAUAUGGUGGAGGAGCAUAUCAACUCUUUGACUACGAGUUUUUGCGCUGCAUCAAUCAAAACAAUAAGUUCAGAGUUCUCUUAGCACCUAAUAUGUGAAUUAAGUAUACUGCAGAAUUUCACUUCCAUAAACAGCUAGGGACAUACCCAACAUAUCGGCGCCGAGGCCUUGCAUCUCUUUCAUCCUAGAAUAAUAUGGAAAGUAAAAAAGAUAUCAUUUAGAUUCAAUAAUUAGAAAAACUGUGACUAUCACCGGGUGAUAAAUCUAAUAACAAACACCAUAAUUGUAGAACAAAAAAAUUGCAAAAACUCAAAACUUGAUAUGGAUAAGAAGCAGUAUCCUAAUGAUACAAACUGGAUAAUAGGGCUGUAAAUGAAACGAGUUGAGCUUUGAAGAAUUUAGGCUCGGAUCAUUAGAUUUUUACUGAGCUCGAGCUCAGAUUUGAAGGUCGAGCUCAGCUCAUUUAGAUUUAUUAGGCUCAAGCACAGCUCGCAUUUAACUCAUUUAUCAAACUCCUAAGCUCAGCCUGCAUUAAACUUGGUAAUGCAGCAUUCUAUAUCACGAUCUACUCACAAAUAAGACUCAGGUUUAGCUUUCUUAAAACAAGCAUACAAGUCUUCUUAAAAAACAGAAAAAGGUUUACAACAGGCACCCACCUUAUCUUCACCUUGUUCUGAUGUCUCUAGUUCCAUUUCAGCAAAGAAUGCCUCCAAGACAAAAGCAACAACCUGAAAUGCGUUGGAAACAUUUAAGUUAUACAUUUAGCAACAGCCUUAGAGUACGAAAAAUGUGCAUUCCAAUAAGCAAUCUAGCUAAGGAAAUAAGGACCCACAACAUAUCGGCCGAUAAUAUCACAAAGAGAAAGAUCCAAUUCAAUGACAAUUAAUUUCCACCUACCAUGUUACCAAUCAGAGGAGUGCAAUUCCAUAAUUUCUCAAACCUCACCCCUAUUAUGGUUAGGAAAUACUGACAAGAAAAUCAUCCAAUCUUCAACUUUUUCUAUUCAUGACCAUUGCACAGUGGGUUAGCAUUUAUCCAUGUUUUGAUGUUUGAUAACACAUUGAGUUGUUCAAACUUUGAAUGCUAGAUUGCUUUCUAAUGAUAACAUAUAUCUUCCUUCUUUAUCAUUCAGAUGAACCAUCCACACUAAUGUAUCAUUGAGAAGCUUCUGGAGUAGCCAGUCACUAAUUUUUCACAUGUUGUGAGGCUCAUUGGAUGAGAAGAAUACCCACUGUGCAAUUGAAAUGACCAUUUGCUUAUUUCAAUACUUGAAACGUAUAUCAUUUUACAAAGGAAUGUGUUUAAGGUAUUGAUGGAACUUUUCUUUUAGAAGUAAAGACUCAACAUCCACACCUCUGUUAUGAGUAAUAAGGAGAACAAGGGGUGUUGCAAAUAAAUAUAGGGUCUUUGGGUUUGAAAUUGUAAUAAAGGAAUAGUAUGGAAGUUAGUAGAGUGAGCUGGGAGUUAGUUAGAGAGUGGUGGGAACAGUUACUAGUUAACUGAAAUCAGUGUAGGAGCUGUAUAAAUACAGCUACCUGAGAAUGUAAUAGCAUCUGUAAUCAAUCUCAAGAAUCUAAUACAAAUCUUGUGUCUUUCUACUCUAUUUCUCUCUCAUUUCUGCUUCUAUUCCUCCCUAUUUCUCUCGAUUUCUAUUUCCUUUUCCUUCUUUGAAUCAGGAACUGCCUGUUAGGGAUUAAGAACCCUAACAAUUGGUAUCAGAGGUCCUUUGAUCAGUGGACAACAACUGGAAUUGCUCCCUCUAUGGUUAGUGGUAGUCUCCCGAGUACCAGAGUUCUUGCUAUUCUUAUCUUUCUCCCUUCUUUCCUUUCCUUUCCUCUCUUAUUCUCUCUAUUCGGACUCCGUUUCUUUUCUUCUUUUUCUCUUCCUAAUUCUUCUCAAUUUCUUCUCAAUCUCUUCUGCUCUAGCUUCUUCCUUCUUUCCCUGAAAUUUCUUCCCUUUCUUUCUGUUCUUCUUCUUGGUAGAACUCUAUCCUUGAAAUUCUUCUCUCCAAAUACCUCUCUUCCCUUUUUUUCUUUCUUUUUAUCUUUCUUCAAUUCUAGAAACCCCUCUUCUUUCCCCAAAUUCCUGCUUCCCUUCUUGAUAUUCUUCCAUUAUUUUAUUGAAAUUGUUCUCUAUUCUUGAUCUUUCUUCAAUCUUUUAUUUCCUUCUGUGCUUUCUCUUUCUUGCGACUCAUUCUCUUCCAUUUCUUCCUUCAAUUUCUUUGGUUUCUGAGAAGACACCAAGAGAAGAGCAUGGAACUAGAAAAGAUUAUUUUGGGUAUGCUUGAAAUCAUUGAAAGAUGGGAAAAGAAAAGGGAAGAUUCUGAAAAGUCAAUUCAAGAACUAACAAAAUUCCAGGUUUUUGAGCCAGAAUUAAAUGUUCAAAUCCAAGAACCUGAGAAUUCUUAGAAUAAUAGCAGUGAAAGGGGAUUGCUGAAUCAAAAGGAGACACAAAGGGUUUUAAUGUUAAGGAGGAGACCAACCUUCCUGAUGAUGCAACAUCUCCUCAUGGUGAUGGAGAAGAAGAAGAGGCUGAUAUUGUUGGUUAUGGCGAAGAGGAAGAGAUUGACAUUGUUGGUGACGGAGAAGAGGAAGAGGUUGACAUUAUUGGCGAUAUUAUUGAGAUGGACUAGAAUUUUAUCACUGAUAUAUCUAGUAUGGGUGAGGAUUCUGAGGAGGAGAAUGAUGAAGAUGGUGAUGAUGG
rnacentral:misc_RNA from 1 species